rnacentral:rRNA from 1 species
AUUGAGCGCUGGCGGCAUGCCUUACACAUGCAAGUCGAACGGCAGCACGGGGCAACCUGGUGGCGAGUGGCGAACGGGUGAGUAAUGCAUCGGAACGUACCUUUCAGUGGGGGAUAACGUAGCGAAAGUUACGCUAAUACCGCAUAUUCUGUGAGCAGGAAAGCAGGGGAUCGCAAGACCUUGCGCUGAUUGAGCGGCAGAUGCCGGAGUAGCUAGUUGGUGAGGUAAAGGCUCACCAAGUCGACGAUCUGCAGCGGGUCUGAGAGGAUGAACCGCCAAACUGGAACUGAGACACGGUCCAGACUCCUACGGGAGGCAGCAGUGGGGAAUUUUGGACAAUGGGGGCAACCCUGAUCCAGCCAUGCCGCGUGAGUGAAGAAGGCCUUCGGGUUGUAAAGCUCUUUCGGCCGGGAAGAAAUCGCACGGGCUAAUACCCUGUGUGGAUGACGGUACCGGAAUAAGAAGCACCGGCUAACUACGUGCCAGCCGCCGCCGUAAAAC